UGCAAGUCCCUCGCAAUUUGC
rnacentral:siRNA from 1 species